GUGGCUAAUUUACUCUGAAUGCAUCUGGUCCUGUUUGAUUUCAGAUGCUAAGCAGGGUUGGGCCCAAGGUUAGUGCUUGGAUGGGAAACUGCCUAGGGAUACCAUGUACUGUAGGCU
rnacentral:rRNA from 1 species